rnacentral:rRNA from 1 species
GGCGGCGUGCCUAACACAUGCAAGUCGAACGGGAUCAGGGGCUUGCUCCUGAUCUAGUGGCGCACGGGUGAGUAAUGCGUAGAUAAUCUGCCUGAUGAUCCGGGAUAACAUUCCGAAAGGGGUGCUAAUACCGGAUAAGCCCACGGAGUCUUCGGACACUGCGGGAAAAGGGGGGGACCUUCGGGCCUUCUGUCAUCAGAUGAGUCUACGUACCAUUAGCUAGUUGGUGGGGUAAAGGCCUACCAAGGCUACGAUGGUUAGCUGGUCUGAGAGGAUGAUCAGCCACACUGGAACUGAGACACGGUCCAGACUCCUACGGGAGGCNGCAGUGGGGAAUUUUGCGCAAUGGGGGAAACCCUGACGCAGCAACGCCGCGUGAGUGAUGAAGGCCUUCGGGUCGUAAAGCUCUGUCAGUGGGAAAGA